UGGAUGGUAUUCGAAAGAAACUAUACCAAAAGACAAUUUCUUAUAUUAAUAAUUUGAGUGUGCAUAGCCGAUAUUUCAUUUUAGAAAAUCGGACUCAUUA
rfam:Eubacterium sp. CAG:156 genomic scaffold, scf184